rnacentral:rRNA from 1 species
UACGUAGGGUGCAAGCGUUUGUCCGGAAUUAUUGGGCGUAAAGAGCUCGUAGGCGGUCUGUCGCGUCUGCUGUGAAAACUCAGGGCUUAACCCUGAGCUUGCAGUGGGUACGGGCAGACUAGAGUGCGGUAGGGGAGACUGGAAUUCCUGGUGUAGCGGUGAAAUGCGCAGAUAUCAGGAGGAACACCGGUGGCGAAGGCGGUUCUCUGGGCCUGUAACUGACGCUGGAGGAACG